AUGGAACGUUUCGAUUUUAAUGCUUGAAUGGUUGUCUUUCUGUGCGAGGAGCACUCAUUUCGAUUUAGGCGGUGCCCGCGGUGAGAGACGAAGGUGACUACGGCGGUGGCGAUGGAGAUCGUAGUGCAGCCGAUCCGAUCAUCCCCAAACUGGAGGAGGUGAGGGAGAGUGCAAUCCCAGUGGAUCUGCCUGAUAACGGCGCGACGAGCGAAGCCAUGGCCGCUGAAGAAGCGAUGAGGCCCGCCAUGAGUGCGGACGGGCAAAUCAGCGCGGAAGACAUGUUGGUUAAUCAGAGACGUGAGAGCUCGCCACAGGCAUCAGAAAUGUUGACUGGGAAGAUGAACCCUCAAGCACCAGGAUGUGUUAAAAGGUGCGUCUUUCAUGUGCAGCAAAUCUGUGUCUUUUUUUUUAUUCCAGGAGAAAUGUCCAGGCUGUUGGCUGUGUUUGUGUGCGUAUGCUGGAAACAUUCGUCGUUGCUGCCAGUAGAGAUGCGUGGAGUCUCCAUGAAGCUUGUGCUCUUGCUUUCCGUCAUGUGACCUUGGUUACAGGUGUUAGUUAGAGAAGGAAAAACUUGGAACAGAAAAUGCAAUGGAUUAGUUCAGUUAGUGCAGCAAACAUAUCUUAGUUGUAUGGUAAAUGUUUGCAGAAACAUGAGUAAUGAAUUAAACUACUUUGAGAUUUUGUUAAGUGAGGUAUUGUGGUCAAUUUGUUCAGCUAGUGCACCUGCCGAAAUGCAGUAUAGUAGAUAGGUUUUAGUCAUUGCUUAGGAAAAUCAUGGAAAACAAUGCAUGUAAAAAUAUUUUGCGGAGAGAACUGAAAUAUGGAUUAAACUGGUUAGCUUUUAUUUAUUUUCCAGUAGAUGUUGGUAGGGAAAAUUUUACAUAAUGAACAGUCUACUGCUGAGCUUUGAUGCUCGUACAACGAAUGCAGUGGGGUACUGUGUGGUGGUUGGAACACUAUUUGGAAAUAAGUAAGCCUGGGAAAAUUUUAUGUCAGAAAAAAAAGUAUGGUUUAAAAUAUUUAUACAUAUUUUUCAGGUAAAUGAUACAAAUGAUUGUUUCAGGAUAGUUGUUGAUGUUGAAAACAAUUGAUACUGGUCAGAAUAAACCAUGGUUUACAAUACUGACUUUGUUGAGGUAAAUGUUGUCAGUGAACUGAACCAUGCAGGAAUGAGCAGACUGCUGUUGUUUUACGUGAUGUUAUUUGUGUGAGCUUUGAUGUCCGUAUUACGAAUGCACAGUUUGCAAAGGACAUUAUAAGCAAUCAACGAAUCAGAUCUUCUGGGCGGCAAGUAUAUCUUCCGUCCUGGCUUCCAGACAAAUCCUUGGAGUAGGGGAGUUGUUCCAUACCACGACAGUCGUCAGUUUCCGGACUUCUACAAGAGUUCUUCAACUCUGUGUCUGCCAAUCAUCUGUCUGGCAACUUCCUUGUACAUGAGGUUCCAAGGUUCGUCAGAAUAACUGGCACAACCAUCAGGGACCAGUUGGCUGGAAGCAGACUCACAUGAAUUGAUGUCACUACUAGACAUCGAUAUGCACAACUCGACUUCGAAGCGGAAGGCAAAUGCCCUUACCUGAGCUGGAGACAUCCAAUUAACCUGAAUUAUCGUCGUCAGACCUUCAUGUUGUCCGGCGCAGACUACAUUCACACAAUCUCCAUCCAGAGACAGUUCGUAGGCGACUUGCUGAUAUAUGAUAUCACAUCUUCACAGAUAUUAUAUCUCGACAUCUACCCCCACCCCCCACCCCCCCUCCCCCUCUAAUCUACAAUCAUUAGUUCAGUAAUACCUUCUCAUUACCGCUCACCACAGUUCUUCACACAAGUGCCUGACAAGGAAGGUUGGAUGAUCAUUUUUUGGGGAUAUGGUCACCAAAGUGAUCAAUGUGUUUGACCCCCUGUUUGUCAGAAAUUCACCAGACCACCAAGGACGAGGCAAUUGCAUGGAGCUCCAAAUGCUCUCUGCAACUGUUUUAAUGAAUAUUAUGCAGAGUGGCCAACCAACAAGGAUGGUUGGGGGAAAAAGAACCCAGCUCUUACUGACACCAUUUUCUCCUGUAACAACACAAGAGCAUGCAUUCUGCACAUCGCUUGUAACUUCGAUUGAGAAAAGCUCAAGCUCCCCCCUGAGAAGCAACAUGUCCUGAAAAAAAAGAUGGAUGCCCUGCAUGAGAUCACGAAGCUUCAUGGAAACUUCUCCACGCUCGCUUACGAGGCACUAUAGAAGGUCCUGGCGUCAUUCGAAUCUGCCUUCGACAAUUAGGCGACCAUAGCUCGUGCCUCUAUCAAGCACUGAGCUUUAGUCAUUAGCUUUUGUUUUAGUGUCCUAGAACGUGUAUCAUGACACUGUCGAAUUUCCGGCCACCUCCAUUGCACUCAUACCUUUUGCUUAGAACCAUGGAAUUUGUACCCUGGUUUAUAAAA